ensembl:lncRNA
GGAAGAGUCCAGUGUGUGGAUAGAGUCCCGUGUGUGGGUAGAGUCCAGUGUGUGGGUAGAGUCCAUAGUGUGGAUAGAGUCCCGUGUGUGGGUAGAGUCCAGUGUGUGGGUAGAGUCCAGUGUGUGGAUAAAGUCCAGUGUGUGGGUAGAAUCCAGUGUGUUGAUAGAUUCCAGUGUGUAUAGAGUCCAGUGUGUGGAUAGAGACCAGUGUGUGGGUAGAUUCCAGUGUGUGGAUAGAGUCCAGUGUGUGGAUAGAGUCCAGUGUGUGGAUAGAGUCCAGUGUGUGGGUAGAGUCCAGUGUGUAGGUAGAGUCCAGUGUGUAGGUAGAGUCCAGUGUGUGGGUAGAGUCCAGUGUGUGGGUAGAAUCCAGUGUGUUGAUAGAGUCCAGUGCGUGGAUAGAGUCCAGUGUGUGGAUAGAGUCCAGUGUGUGGAUAGAGUCCAGUGUGUGGGUAGAGUCCAGUGUGUGGGUAGAGUCCAGUGUGUGGGUAGAGUCCAGUGUGUGGGUAGAGUCCAGUGUGUGGGUAGAGUCCAGUGUGUGGAUAGAGUCCAGUGUGUGGAUAGAGUCCCAUGUGUGGGUAGAGUCCAGUGUGUGGGUAGAGUCCAGUGUGUGGAUAGAGUCCAGUGUGUGGGUAGAGUCCAGUGUGUGGAUAGAGUCCAG